rnacentral:rRNA from 1 species
CCUACGGGUGGCAGCAGUGGGGAAUAUUGCACAAUGGGGGAAACCCUGAUGCAGCGACGCCGCGUGAGUGAAGAAGUAUUUCGGUACGUAAAGCUCUAUCAGCAGGGAAGAAAAACCGGCCUUAGGGCCGCCAGACGGUACCUGACUAAGAAGCCCCGGCUAACUACGUGCCAGCAGCCGCGGUAAUACGUAGGGGGCAAGCGUUAUCCGGAUUUACUGGGUGUAAAGGGGGCGCAGAGGGCGAUGCAAGACAGGAGUGAAAGACCGGGGCCCAACCCCGGGACUGCUCUUGGAACUGCGUGGCUGGAGUGCAGGAGGGGCAGGCGGAAUUCCUGGUGUAGCGGUGAAAUGCGUAGAUAUCAGGAGGAACACCGGUGGCGAAGGCGGCCUGCUGGACUGCAACUGACGUUGAGGCCCGAAAGCGUGGGGAGCAAACAGGAUUAGAUACCCUUGUAGUC